rnacentral:rRNA from 1 species
UACGGAAGGCAGCAGUGGGGAAUAUUGCACAAUGGGCGCAAGCCUGAUGCAGCCAUGCCGCGUGUAUGAAGAAGGCCUUCGGGUUGUAAAGUACUUUCAGUCGUGAGGAAGGUGUUAAGGUUAAUAACCUUAGCAAUUGACGUUAGCGACAGAAGAAGCACCGGCUAACUCCGUGCCAGCAGCCGCGGUAAUACGGAGGGUGCGAGCGUUAAUCGGAAUUACUGGGCGUAAAGGGCACGCAGGCGGUUAAUUAAGUUGGAUGUGAAAUCCCCGGGCUUAACCUGGGAAUGGCAUUCAAGACUGGUUAGCUAGAGUCUUGUAGAGGGGGUAGAAUUCCAUGUGUAGCGGUGAAAUGCGUAGAGAUGUGUAGGAAUACCGGUGGCGAAGGCGGCCCCUGGACAAAGACUGACGCUCAUGUGCGAAAGCGUGGGGAGCAAACAGGGAUUAGAUACC